UAUAAAAAAAUAAAAAUGUGAUAAACACCAAGUUCAACAGUAGCCGAACAUAAAACAACCGACGACCCAAAUAUAGGCCCAAAACCUACCCAAAACUAAUAACAGAAAGGAAAAAUAAUGAGAAAAAAUAAAGAAAUACUAAAAGAUGCACCACUGUUUCGUUGCCCAAUCAGAAAUCUUCUAGAUGCUCGUCCCAACAACAACUAAUCAUUCUCCAUUUUCAGUCGGUUUCAUUCUCAGAAAAAAGCCUGUCUUCCCCAAAACUACAUAGAAUACAACUUUCCUCCCAAAAGACUUCCAAAACAGUACGCCCUUCUUUAAUCUGGUUCCCUUGUCUUCUCCGUAGCAAAACGACUUCUCGCAAAGGACAAAACACUCCCCACCAGGAAUAAAAUUUUUAAAAUGAUAUGUGGAGUUAUGCCUCGCAUUUUGGGCUAAACAGCGUGUGAUGUCGCAAUAAGGAAGAGUUCUUCAUCCCAUCACGACAAGAAGAAAACCCUCGUCCCAACGACGUGAUCCUCCUUCGUCCCGAUGACACGAUGCCAUGUCUCGACAUAGUGACGUGCAAAUCAAGUUUUUCGACUUUCUUCUCCCAAUUAAACUUUGUUUUUAGUUUACUCACUUAAAUUCUGAUUAUUCUAGGGUUGUUGUUGACAUAUAUGCUACGAAUUUCAGCCUAUAAAUAGGCAUUAGUUACUCUAGGUCUAUACACAACAAAAAUAUCCAGAUUGAGAGAAAUCUGUUUUUUAUUUUGAAGGGUUUUGUUUUUGGGCUUCGAAUUUUCUUUUAAUUCUCUCCAUCUACUCUCCUUUAUUAUAAUAAAAUCUCAUUUUGCCUGUGUUUUUUAUUCUUA